UAGAUAUAUUAUAUAUUUUAAUUAUAAACAUAAAACCUUGUUUGCACAGUGGUUAGCGGGUUUUAACCAUGAUAAAUCCACCCGGGUUUGAACCUCUUCCAGAGAUUUUUUGGUUGUUUUUAACUUUAAAACAUUAAUGAGGGGUAUAAUAGAUAUUACGUAAUCAUCUUCUUCCUUAUGUAUCUGCUGGAACCCUAACAUGGGGGCCGCCUCACUUUUUCUUUUUUCGUUUUUCAUUAUUUUCCUUCUUUUUCCUCUGUAUUUAUAGCCAAAAAUGAUAGAUUAAUCAGAAAACCUUCGAUUUUAAAGUUUAAAUGAACGAAAUCUUGAAUUUUUUAAGAUAGUCGAGUUUUUUCUCCGAUUAGCACCAAAUCGCGGCGGUUGGAGGCCGAGGAACGAUUUUCCGGCGAGUAAGCGGCCUUAGGCGCCGCGUUUUCGAACACGGGUAUGGAGUAUAUGUGUUGGCAAGAGGUAAAAGGAACCUAAAAUCUUAUCUAGUUCAAGUAUUCGAUAUUGACUUAGCAAUAAUGGCUGAUUGUGACUUUGUGAGUCACUCUCAUUUACUACCCAUAAAGAGCACAAUCAAUAACAAACAACAUUUAAAAGUUAGAGCUAUCUACUCUCCUUUAUUCCAGUAUAAUAAAUUCACAAAAUAGAUGAGAUUAAAUAUUUAUUGUAAGUCUAUAUUGAAUCUUAUACAUGAACAAUGUACAAGCAGAGGUUAUAUACAGACACUGAUACUAGGGUAUACCAUAGAAGUUAAUGACAAUAUAUUAUGUACAAUAAAUAAGAAUAUACGAAGAUCAAGCAUUGAUAGUGAUUGAUCUCUAAUACGUCCCCUCAAAAUGGAGGGGUUUGCACACUCCAAUCUUGCCAGCAAAUGAAAUGAAUGUUGGAUAUGGUAGGGGUUUGGUCAUAGCAUCUGCUAGCUGAUCCUCGGUUGAGACGUGUACCACUCGUAGUGUGCAUGACUUGACUUGGUUUCGAAUAAAAUUGUAGUCUAGCGCAACAUGCUUUAUUCUUGAAUGGAAGAUGGGAUUGACCCAUAAGUAGGUGGCUCCAUCAUAUGGCUGGUGGAAGGAGAGGCUUUCAAGGUCCGACAUAAUAUGGUGGGUUGUGCCCCUGUCCAUUAGCCAGUUGGUAGUAUUUUAGGAAGCAGUUACGGUGAGAUUAGCUCGAGGAUUUCAAGGCAUGAAUGGACUAACUUUCUGCUGACGAGGAGACUGAUAGCUUUUGAGUUGAGAGCAUUGCUUGGCACUGUUUCCUUGUGUGCCACAGAUCUGACAGCAUCCAAGUUGUUGCGCUGUUGUGCCAUAUUGGCUGUGACAAGAGUUGGUGAGACAAGAGCAUCCCUGAGGGAGAGGAGUUUGGCCUCGUGGUUUAGUAGGCGCUCAUGCAGCUCCGUGAUCAAUGGGGGAGCGUCCCUGCCUUCGAUCUGGUCUAUGACAUUUUUGUAAUCUUCUGGAAGUCCUUCGAGGAUGAGAUCGAUCUGGUCUUCGUGGUCAACUGCUUUCCCGAGAAUAGCUAGUCCAUCCAAACGAGUUGUGAUGCCUUGAAGGUUGAUGCAAGUGUGGUUCACACAUAAGAGGAGGUAGUGCAAUGCGAGACAUGAGGCUGGAGAGAUUGAGAGAUUACUCCUAGAAGUGCGCUAUAAAGGAGCUUGUCUUGAUGUUUCCACAAAGUGUAGGCCAGAUUUGUUGGAUGUGAUCAAGUCUUCAUCUUAUAUUAUUAGUUUAGAAGAUUCAUAUAUUAUAUAGUUAAGUAAUUAAUUUAUGUAUCGUAUCGUAUCACACACCGAACAGAUACAAAUAUAAUUGUUAACUGCAAAACAGUUACACAUGUGUAUGUACGUGUCUCUAUA